rnacentral:tRNA from 1 species
GAGGGUAUAGCUCAAGUGAUAGAGUGCUUGCUUUACAUGCGUGAGGUCCUGGGUUGGAUCCCCAGUACUUCCU